rnacentral:lncRNA from 1 species
GCCCUUGUAUGAGUCAGAUUCAGGAGUUAAAUGUUUUCACUGACUGACUGGAAGUGUCAUUUCAAUAUCAGUCAUAACUCAGCUUUCUUUCCCUUUUUUCUGCAGAGUUGGACAAAAAAUUUUAAAGGAGUAGCCUAAGCAAAUUUGAAAGCAAAGAGCAAAUAUGCUAUGAGGUCUGCAUUACGGAUCACCAAGAUCAAGUAGCUUUGUGUGAGAUCUGAAGGAAUCUCUGAGCCUGUGACCUUUGCAACUGCUUCCCCAGACUCAGCGGUGCCUUGAGGUGGCAGGUGUGCUCCAUGGUUAAAGAUUUCUUGGCAGCUAACUCUGAAAACUGCUAACCAUGUGUACAAGAAGAAAUGUUCUGAUGAGUGAUGGUGGAACAUGUGAGGAACAUAGACAAGAAAGAAGAGAUCAGCGGUUGAAUAUACUUUUAAAAAGUCAUGAAAUUUUAAGCACACCAGCUGGAUUGGAGCCAACUAAUAACGAACUUCAGUGGAAGGGGUCUGAAAGCUUCCCAGUGAUCACAGGAACAGGCAGAGCAGCAGUUGAUCUGAUGAGGUGA